rnacentral:rRNA from 1 species
UACGAAGGGUGCAAGCGUUAUUCGGAAUCAUUGGGCGUAAAGCGCGCGCAGGCGGAUUUGUAAGUCAGGUGUGAAAUCUCGAAGCUCAACUUCGAAACUGCGCCUGAAACUACAAGUCUAGAGUGUUGGAGGGGGGUAGGGGAAUUUCACGUGUAGGGGUAAAAUCCGUAGAGAUGUGAAGGAACACCGGAGGCGAAGGCGCCUACCUGGACAACUACUGACGCUGAGGCGCGAAAAGCGUGGGGGAGCAAAACAGG